rnacentral:rRNA from 1 species
AGGAAAGCAGGGGAUCGCAAGACCUUGCGCUUUUGGAGCGGCCGAUGUCUGAUUAGCUAGUUGGUGAGGUAAAGGCUUACCAAGGCUUCGAUCAGUAGCUGGUCUGAGAGGACGACCAGCCACACUGGGACUGAGACACGGCCCAGACUCCUACGGGAGGCAGCAGUGGGGAAUUUUGGACAAUGGGGGCAACCCUGAUCCAGCCAUGCCGCGUGAGUGAAGAAGGCCUUCGGGUUGUAAAGCUCUUUCAGCCGGAACGAAAAGGUUACGGUUAAUACCCGUGACUAAUGACGGUACCGGAAGAAGAAGCACCGGCUAACUACGUGCCAGCAGCUGCGGUAAUACGUAGGGUGCGAGCGUUAAUCGGAAUUACUGGGCGUAAAGCGUGCGCAGGCGGUUUUGUAAGUCAGAUGUGAAAUCCCCGGGCUUAACCUGGGAACUGCGUUUGAAACUACAAAGCU